rnacentral:rRNA from 1 species
UACGGGGGGGGCAAGCGUUGUUCGGAAUUACUGGGCGUAAAGGGCUUGUAGGUGGCCAACUAAGUCGGACGUGAAAUCCCUCGGCUUAACCGGGGAACUGCGUUUGAUACUGGAUGGCUAGAGUUUGGGAGAGGGAUGCGGAAUUCCAGGUGUAGCGGUGAAAUGCGUAGAUAUCUGGAGGAACACCGGUGGCGAAGGCGGCAUCCUGGACCAACACUGACACUGAAAAGCGAAAGCCAGGGGAGCAAACGGG